rnacentral:lncRNA from 1 species
GGAGGACUGCGUUUGCUCAGGAUUGCCUGGGAAACCAGGAACGAAGCAACUACGUGAAGAUCCCUAGAAGAACAGGAUUCUGUCCUGCUUUCUGCUCCUCGGCUGGGGCGUGCUCAUGUGGUUCACCUGCGCCUCCUCCAGGGGCUUCUCCUAACUGUUAAGAUCUAACACCUUCCUCCACCGGACCCGGCCUUCUAGAACUGAAACUCCAGGCCAACCGGUAGCUUGAGAGUGCACCGCCUCCGCGGUGGACAGCCCUCUCCCCGGCUAGCCUAAAUAAACCCAAAACUGAGCAAGCUCAGCAGGCAGAUGCACCUUCACGGCGCAACGGACCGAUCUCCUCUGUGGCACUAGGGGCUCCCAGCCCCUGAGAAGUAACUCAACCCUUCUCUUGAACAACGCAGGAGGCCAGCAGCAUCUGCAGCACCUGGAAUUCCCUAAGAAGGCAAAGGAGGGGCGUGGGUUCAGGAUUACAAGUUAGCCGAGAUCAGCCUCAGCUACCGCUCCACUAACCCCAAAGGAAAGAAACUUCCCAGGCAUGACCUGCCGGUCAAACAAGACCUUCAGAUGAUUCCUAUGCCCUGUGAUAUGUUCUCUUACCAGAGGUUCCAGACAUAGUAAAAGAUACAGAACGCCGGGCGUGGUGGUGCACGCCUUUAAUCCCA